AAGCUCGUAGUUGAAUUUCGAGACCGGCUUACUGGUCGUGCUAUUGUACGUACUGGUAUAAUCGGUUUCUCCUUUCUGACGAACUAUAAUGCCAUUAAUUUGGUGUUUUAGGGAAUCAGGACUGUUACUUUGAAAAAAUUAGAGUGUUUAAAGCAGGCUCACGCUUGAAUACAUUAGCAUGGAAUAACGGAAUAGGACGUUUGAUUCUAUUUUGUUGGUUUCUAGGAUCGACGUAAUGAUUAAUAGGGAUAGUUGGG
rnacentral:rRNA from 1 species